rnacentral:rRNA from 1 species
ACUCAAAGGAAUUGACGGGGGCUCACACAAGCGGUGGAGCAUGUGGCUUAAUUCGAAGCAACGCGAAGAACCUUACCCGGGUUUGACAUGUACGGAUGUGCCUUGGGGAUAACUCGAGGUCACUACCCGCAAGGGUGAAACGUGCACAGGUGUUGCAUGGCUGUCGUCAGCUCGUGCUGUGAAGUGUCAGGUUAAGUCCUUCAACGAGCGAAACCCCUGUUGCUAGUUGCCAGCGGAUCAUGCCGGGAACUCUAGCAAGACUGCCGGCGUAAGCCGGAGGAAGGUGGGGAUGACGUCAAGUCAUCAUGGCCUUUAUGCCCGGGGAUGCACACGUGCUACAAUGGCGCGUACAAAGCGAUGCAAUAUCGCGAGAUGGAGCAAAUCGCAAAAAACGCGCCCCAGUUCAGAUUGGAGUCUGCAACCCGACUCCAUGAAGUUGGAAUCGCUAGUAAUCGCGGAUCAGCUACGCCGCGGUGAAUGUGUUCCUGAGCCUUGCACACACCGCCCGU